rnacentral:rRNA from 1 species
UACGUAGGGUGCGAGCGUUAAUCGGAAUUACUGGGCGUAAAGCGUGCGCAGGCGGUCUGUUAAGACCGAUGUGAAAUCCCCGGGCUUAACCUGGGAACUGCAUUGGUGACUGGCAGGCUUUGGGUGUGGCAGAGGGAGGUAGAAUUCCACGUGUAGCAGUGAAAUGCGUAGAGAUGUGGAGGAAUACCGAUGGCGAAGGCAGCCUCCUGGGCCAACACUGACGCUCAUGCACGAAAGCGUGGGGAGCAAACAGG